rnacentral:snRNA from 1 species
GUGCUCGCUUCAGCAGCACACAUACUAAAAUUGGAACGAUACAGAGAAGAUUAGCAUGGCCCCUGUGCAAGGAUGACACGUAAAUUCGUGAAGCGUUCCAUAGUUU